UGCUGCUCUGACUCCGCCCCUCUUUGCUCCUCCCCUCGCAGGCUGCACAGCUUCGCUACCACCAUCCGCCAGGCAGUGCUGGCCUCCCUGGACGAUGAGGCGACCCACACGCCGGACAUCGGGGGCCAGGGCACCACGUCGGGGGCUGUCCAGUCCAUCCUGCGUCACGUCCGCACGGCCAGCGGCUGGAGCCAGUGCAGCUAGGGCCAGGGGGAGGACCCCACUCUCAGGCCAAGGCGAAGGGGCCGCGCAGGCCGGAGCCCCCCAGCCGGGCGACCCAUGGGGCAGGACCGUAGCCCCCUGCCCCCCCGUCCAUGUCACUGCUGCUGUGUGUCUCUCUCGCUGUGGGGCCAGUGCCCCACGGGGAAUAAAUGUCCGUCUGUCUCAGCUG